UCAGAAACAGAGUUUUGGUCACCUUCGCCAGCCCAGGAGGCAGGACAGGGAGCAGGUGCUCGGUAAACAUGCGGACAUGGGCAAGCCUGGAGAAAGAGGUGUGUCCUCAGAGAUACGGCGCGAGUGGACCUGCUUUUCUUCUGCUGAAGACAGAAACAGCACACGGAAACACGUCUUCAUCUUUGUCUGGAAUGGCCCAGCCCAGCCUAGGCUCCCGGUUACACACAAGUCACAAUGGGAAGACAAUGCCAUUUUUUGUGACACUCCCUUCUCUAUAAGUGCAGACUGCCUUGGUCACAAUGGUUCAUGAUGCCCACGAGCAGGGGCCGGAAGACCCUCGCCAGACUGCAGGUGGGUGGAUGCGACCCACACAGGAGCAGGGUGAGCACCUAGCGAUGCCUGCACAGCCUUCCUCACCUUCCUCCUUCUGAACCCCUCCUGCCACCAGCCGCCACCUUCAUGGACCAGUGGGUUUCUGCAGUCACCUCCUCACUGCUGCCCGCUCUGCCCUGCCCAGCCUCCUGUCGGCUCUCUUGUGGGGCAGACAGUGAGAUCUUGAAAAGCAAAUUCCAUGAGAACAGCACUUGAAACUCGUAGCAGUCUAAGAAGCCUCACCUUCUCCUUCCCAUCAUCCCCGACACAGACAACUACAUUCACUGUUGACGGAGGACAAACCUGUGACAAGAUUCCACAAAAUGGCCUUAUGUAUGGAGGAAAGCAUUCGACGGGGAAAGUGGAUUUUGCGUCAAUCAUGUCAGACUUGCAAGAGAGAAGUUUCUGAAAUGAGUGUGACGCACACAAAAAGGCACUUCAAAGGCAAUCAAUAGCAUACACUCAUUAGCUCACAAUCCCAUUAAUUUGUGAAGGUUAAACAACAUGUCAUUAGCUUAAAGAGGCAGAGGAAGUUAGCUUGGGUUUAGAAUUUGUGACCUGAUAUGAAAGAAAUGUUUUGCUUUUUUAAAUUAGACGAUUCCAGUUGUUUUUCUUCAAUAAUCUGUGGAAAUUAUUUACUGUCUACUUUUUAAAUUGUGGGUUGAAGCAGGAGGAUCAGUCAUUCAACAUAUCAAUCACAACAGAUCUCCAUAGCAUCUUCUCAGGAACAGGUAGUGUGCGUGGCUCACUGGGGAAAACGAUAACAAGGAACACAUGGGAUUUGCCCUCGAGAGACUGACAGUCAGGCUACAGGGACCAGGGAUAAACAUACAAAAACAUUUAAAACAAAGCACACAUGGCAAAUCCAUGGGAAAGACUGCUUGUGACAAGAACAGCAAGGAGGGGCGACUCCCUAGGUCCACGCAUGGACUCAGAGUGCGGUAAGGAAAAUAAGUCAUUCUGGGCAGGAGGGACCAUAGUGCCCCAGCCCAGCGGCAGCUCAUUUAGGGAACAAGUCAGGAUGGGAAGAGGG